rnacentral:rRNA from 1 species
UACGUAGGGUGCGAGCGUUAAUCGGAAUUACUGGGCGUAAAGCGUGCGCAGGCGGUAAGUUAAGUCUGAUGUGAAAGCCCCGGGCUCAACCUGGGAAUGGCAUUGGAAACUGGCGUGCUAGAGUGUGGCAGAGGGGGGUGGAAUUCCGCGUGUAGCAGUGAAAUGCGUAGAGAUGCGGAGGAACACCGAUGGCGAAGGCAGCCCCCUGGGCUGACACUGACGCUCAGGCACGAAAGCGUGGGGAGCAAACAGG